UUCAGUUAAAAGACUGAGGAUGAAGGCCCCCUUUGCUCGUUCCGUAGGGAACUGAUCCACCAUGAGUAAUGAAACCACGACAGGACUUGGGAUCCCCCUCAUAUUUCUCGGGAAGAGAUAGACGGAGCCUUGAUCCGGAAACGACUGUAGGAGCAGGAGCUGCCACCGGUGCAGAAGAAGGAAGCUGUGGUUGUGGUGGUUGUUGCUGUGCAGUUAGCAACUGCUGCAUCAUGGCAGAUAACUGCUGUGCCUGCUGGGCCAACUGCCGUGACUGGUUCCUCAGGCAGAGGAACCCCAGCGGGAUCAUGGCCGGAUCUUGCCGUAAUGGAGCUGAAUGUGGAUCGUCUAACCUAUGUGGCUGACUCUGACCGUAUCGGGGAGCGGAGUCUAAGGUGCCGCUGGUCUUCACCAGAGCCUGCCGCAAGGCAGGAUGGGCUUGCUGCGGCAGGUGACCACACAGGUAGCCGGGCAAUGCGAGGUACCGAAGGAUAUGGCAGUAGCAUAGUAAAAUGUAGCAGAAGGUAAAGGCAGGCGGCAAAGGUGCGGAGUCUAAUAACGUAGUGGAAAGUCUGGAAAUACAGCCUGGCAUGCCUCCUCGCUCACCCUCACACCCAUAACCCAACCUCCUUGACUGAUGUCAAUGUUUGGCAACCACCUUAAGCUCCAGCAAAGGUCGUCUUAUUUGAAGAUAGAUAUAGAGCUGGAGGGCGCAUAAAGGAAAGCAGGAGUAAGAGAUCCAAGAGACAAAUUUCUGAUUCU